UGGGGAAUGAUUGCACAAUGGGCGAAAGCCUGAUGCAGCAACGCCGCGUGAGUGAUGAGGGCCUUCGGGUUGUAAAGCUCUGUCUUUUGGGACGAUAAUGACGGUACCAAAGGAGGAAGCCACGGCUAACUACGUGCCAGCAGCCGCGGUAAUACGUAGGUGGCAAGCGUUGUCCGGAUUUACUGGGCGUAAAGGAUGCGUAGGCGGAUUUUUAAGUGAGAUGUGAAAACCCUAAGCAUUAACUUAGGGGACUGGCAUUUCAUAUCUGGAAAUCUAGAGUGCGGGAGAGGAGAAUGGAAUUCCUAGUGUAGCGGUGAAAUGCGUAGAGAUUAGGAAGAACACCAGUGGCGAAGGCGAUUCUCUGGACCGUAACUGACGCUGAGGCAUGAAAGCGUGGGUAGCAAACAGGAUUAGAUACCCUGGUAGUCCACGCCGUAAACGAUGAGUACUAGGUGUAGGAGGUAUCGACCCCCUUCUGUGCCGCAGUUAAACACAAUAAGUACUCCGCCUGGGAAGUACGAUCGCAAGAUUAAAAACUUAAAUGAAUUGACGGGGGUCAUAGCUGUUUCCU
rnacentral:rRNA from 1 species